GGGACUCAGCAGUGACGAAGGACGAUGAAGAAGCACUAGGAGAAGGGAGAAUGGUGAGCAAGAGAGUGUUGUCAGCCUCUUCAUCAUCUUCAUCGUCGGUGUCUAUUGUGUUUACAUGCACACAUGAGAAGUGUUCCAGGGACGCGAAGAAUGCAGAGGCGACGUUCAUUCCCACCCAAUUUGGUAGAUCAUUUCCCUCAUUUGAUGCUUGAGAAUUUGAAUUUUCCUCCAUCUCCAAGCUUUUUUGAGAGAUGAGAUCUUUGCAAAUCACGGAAGAUGACUUCGACAUAGAAUGUUAAGAUCAUAAG
rnacentral:lncRNA from 1 species